GAUGAACGCUGGCGGCGUGCCUAAUACAUGCAAGUCGAGCGAACGGACGCGACUCUUGCUUCUCUGAUGUUAGCGGCGGACGGGUGAGUAACACGUGGAUAACCUCCCUCUAAGACUGGGAUAACUUCGGGAAACCGGAGCUAAUACCGGAUGAUAUUUUGAACCGCAUGGUUCAAAAGUGAAAGACGGUCUUGCUGUCACUUAUAGAUGGAUCCGCGCUGCAUUAGCUAGUUGGUAAGGUAACGGCUUACCAAGGCAACGAUGCAUAGCCGACCUGAGAGGGUGAUCGGCCACACUGGAACUGAGACACGGUCCAGACUCCUACGGGAGGCAGCAGUAGGGAAUCUUCCGCAAUGGGCGAAAGCCUGACGGAGCAACGCCGCGUGAGUGAUGAAGGUCUUCGGAUCUUAAAACUCUGUUAUUAGGGAAGAACAUAUGUGUAAGUAACUGUGCACAUCUUGACGGUACCUAAUCAGAAAGCCACGGCUAACUACGUG
rnacentral:rRNA from 1 species